UUGCACGCUGGCGGCAGGCCUAACACAUGCCAGUCGAACGGUAACAGGAAGCAGCUUGCUGCUUCGCUGACGAGUGGCGGCCGGGUGAGUAAUGUCUGGGAAGCUGCCUGAUGGAGGGGGAUAACUACUGGAAACGGUAGCUAAUACCGCAUAAUGUCGCAAGACCAAAGAGGGGGACCUUCGGGCCUCUUGCCAUCGGAUGUGCCCAGAUGGGAUUAGCUUGUUGGUGGGGUAACGGCUCACCAAGGCGACGAUCCCUAGCUGGUCUGAGAGGAUGACCAGCCACACUGGAACUGAGACACGGUCCAGACUCCUACGGGAGGCAGCAGUGGGGAAUAUUGCACAAUGGGCGCAAGCCUGAUGCAGCCAUGCCGCGUGUAUGAAGAAGGCCUUCGGGUUGUAAAGUACUUUCAGCGGGGAGGAAGGGAGUAAAGUUAAUACCUUUGCUCAUUGACGUUACCCGCAGAAGAAGCACCGGCUAACUCCGUG
rnacentral:rRNA from 1 species